rnacentral:lncRNA from 1 species
GUUAGGACUAGUAACAGGGAUGUUGUAGUGUUAGUGGAGGUUAGGACUAGUAACAGGGAUGUUGUAGUGUUGGUGGAGGUUAGGACUAGUAACAGGGAUGUUGUGGAGGUUAGGACUAGUAACAGGGAUGUUGUAGUGUUGGUGGAGGUUAGGACUAGUAACAGGGAUGUUGUAGUGUUGGUGGAGGUUAGGACUAGUAACAGGGAUGUUGUAGUGUUAGUGGAGGUUAGGACUAGUGACAGGGAUGUUGUGGUGUUGGUGGAGGUUAGGACUAGUAACAGGGAUGUUGUAGUGUUAGUGGAGGUUAGGACUAGUAACAGGGAUGUUGUGGUGUUGGUGGAGGUUAGGACUAGUAACAGGGAUGUUGUAGUGUUGGUGGAGGUUAGGACUAGUAACAGGGAUGUUGUAGUGUUUGUGGAGGUUAGGACUAGUAACAGGGAUGUUGUGGUGUUUGUGGAGGUUAGGACUAGUAACAGGGAUGUUGUAGUGUUAGUGGAGGUUAGGAUUAGUAACAGGGAUGUUGUGGAGGUUAGGACUAGUAACAGGGAUGUUGUAGUGUUUGUGGAGGUUAGGACUAGUAACAGGGAUGUUGUAGUGUUAGUGGAGGUUAGGAUUAGUAACAGGGAUGUUGUGGAGGUUAGGACUAGUAACAGGGAUGUUGUAGUGUUUGUGGAGGUUAGGACUAGUAACAGGGAUGUUGUAGUGUUUGUGGAGGGUAGGACUAGUAACAGGGAUGUUGUAGUGUUGGUGGAGGUUAGGACUAGUAACAGGGAUGUUGUGGAGGUUAGGACUAGUAACGGGGAUGUUGUGGUGUUGGUGGAGGUUAGGACUAGUAACGGGGAUGUUGUAGUGUUAGUGGAGGUUAGGACUAGUAACGGGGAUGUUGUGGUGUUAGUGGAGGUUAGGACUAGUAACGGGGAUGUUGUGGUGUUGGUGGAGGUUAGGACUAGUAACAGGGAUGUUGUAGUGUUUGGAGGUUAGGACUAGUAACAGGGAUGUUGUAGUGUUAGUGGAGGUUAGGACUAGUAACAGGGAUGUUGUAGUGUUUGGAGGUUAGGACUAGUAACAGGGAUGUUGUAGUGUUUGUGGAGGUCAGGACUAGUAACAGGGAUGUUGUAGUGUUAGUGGAGGUUAGGACUAGUAACAGGGAUGUUGUAGUGUUUGUGGAGGUUAGGACUAGUAACAGGGAUGUUGUAGUGUUAGUGGAGGUUAGGACUAGUAACAGGGAUGUUGUAGGGUUAGUGGAGGUUAGGACUAGUAACAGGGAUGUUGUAGUGUUUGGAGGUUAGGACUAGUAACAGGGAUGUUGUAGUGUUUGUGGAGGUUAGGACUAGUAACAGGGAUGUUGUGGUGUUGGUGGAGGUUAGGACUAGUAACAGGGAUGUUGUAGUGUUGGUGGAGGUUAGGACUAGUAACAGGGAUGUUGUAGUGUUCAUUGAGGUUAGGACUAGUAACAGGGAUGUUGUAGUGUUAGUGGAGGUUAGGACUAGUUACAGGGAUGUUGUAGUGUUCAUUGAGGUUAGGACUAGUAACAGGGAUGUUGUAGUGUUCAUUGAGGUUUGGACUAGUAACAGGGAUGUUGUAGUGUUAGUGGAGGUUUGGACUAGUGACAGGGUUACAGAGCCAUGGUGGUGUUGAUGUUGUCUCUAUGGAAGUGCUGCCCUGGAAGAGCAAGGUAUUCAUCCAGUGUUGUAGACCCAGCCGUGCAUUUCUCUCUCUGUCAUUUUCUGUCUCUUUCUGUCUGUCUCUCUUUGUCGCUCUCUCUUUCUCUCGCUCUCCCUCCUUCUCUCUCUUCAUCUGUCUCUCGGCCUUUCGCUCUAUCUCGCCCUCUGUGUGUUAGUGAUUACAUCACUCGCCCUCUCUGUCUCUUUCUCUCUCUCUCUCUCUCUCUCUCUCUCUCUCUCUCUCUCUCUCUCUCGCCAUCUCUGUGUCUCUCUCUCGCCCUCUCUGUCUCUCUCUCUCUCUCUCUCUGCCUCUUGCAUAACUGCC